GCAGUGGGGAAUUUUGGACAAUGGGCGCAAGCCUGAUCCAGCCAUGCCGCGUGCAGGAUGAAGGCCUUCGGGUUGUAAACUGCUUUUGUACGGAACGAAAAGCCUUUCUCGAAUAAAGAGAGGUCAUGACGGUACCGUAAGAAUAAGCACCGGCUAACUACGUGCCAGCAGCCGCGGUAAUACGUAGGGUGCAAGCGUUAAUCGGAAUUACUGGGCGUAAAGCGUGCGCAGGCGGUAAUGUAAGACAGAUGUGAAAUCCCCGGGCUCAACCUGGGAACUGCAUUUGUGACUGCAUUGCUGGAGUGCGGCAGAGGGGGAUGGAAUUCCGCGUGUAGCAGUGAAAUGCGUAGAUAUGCGGAGGAACACCGAUGGCGAAGGCAAUCCCCUGGGCCUGCACUGACGCUCAUGCACGAAAGCGUGGGGAGCAAACAGGAUUAGA
rnacentral:rRNA from 1 species